rnacentral:rRNA from 1 species
GACAGAGGGUGCAAACGUUGUUCGGAAUUACUGGGCGUAAAGCGCGUGUAGGCGGCUUGGCAAGUCGGGUGUGAAAGCCCCGGGCUCAACCUGGGAAGUGCACUCGAAACUGCUUGGCUUGAGUACUGGAGAGGGAAGCGGAAUUCUCGGUGUAGAGGUGAAAUUCGUAGAUAUCGAGAGGAACACCGGUGGCGAAGGCGGCUCC